rnacentral:rRNA from 1 species
CGUUGUUCGGAAUUACUGGGCGUAAAGCGUGCGCAGGCGGCUUCUCAAGUCAGGGGUGAAAGCCCAGAGCUCAACUCUGGAAUUGCCUUUGAGACUGAGUGGCUUGAGUACGAGAGAGGUGAGUGGAAUUCCCAGUGUAGAGGUGAAAUUCGUAGAUAUUGGGAAGAACACCGGUGGCGAAGGCGGCUCACUGGCUCGUAACUGACGCUCAUGCACGACAGCGUGGGGAUCAAACAGG